rfam:Schistosoma haematobium scaffold370_5, whole genome shotgun sequence.
AUUCAGCUGACGAGACCCAAAUAGGACGGAACGCGUGUCAAACUGAAU